rnacentral:rRNA from 1 species
UACGUAGGUCGCGAGCGUUAAUCGGAAUUACUGGGCGUAAAGCGUGCGCAGGCGGUGAUGUAAGACAGAUGUGAAAUCCCCGGGCUCAACCUGGGAACUGCAUUUGUGACUGCAUCGCUGGAGUGCGGCAGAGGGGGAUGGAAUUCCGCGUGUAGCAGUGAAAUGCGUAGAUAUGCGGAGGAACACCGAUGGCGAAGGCAAUCCCCUGGGCCUGCACUGACGCUCAUGCACGAAAGCGUGGGGAGCAAACAGG